rnacentral:rRNA from 1 species
GUUCGAACGAUGAACCUACACUUGUGGGGGGAUUAGUGGCGAACGGGUGAGUAACACGUGAGUAACCUGCCCUUGACUCUGGGAUAAGCCUGGGAAACCGGGUCUAAUACUGGAUACGACCUUCUGGCGCAUGCCAUGUUGGUGGAAAGCUUUUGUGGUUUUGGAUGGACUCGCGGCCUAUCAGCUUGUUGGUGGGGUAAUGGCCUACCAAGGCGACGACGGGUAGCCGGCCUGAGAGGGUGACCGGCCACACUGGGACUGAGACACGGCCCAGACUCCUACGGGAGGCAGCAGUGGGGAAUAUUGCACAAUGGGCGCAAGCCUGAUGCAGCGACGCCGCGUGAGGGAUGAAGGCCUUCGGGUUGUAAACCUCUUUCAGUAGGGAAGAAGCUGGCCUUUGGGUUGGUGACGGUACCUGCAGAAGAAGCGCCGGCUAACUACGUGCCAGCAGCCGCGGUAAUACGUAGGGCGCAAGCGUUAUCCGGAAUUAUUGGGCGUAAAGAGCUCGUAGGCGGUUUGUCGCGUCUGCCGUGAAAGUCCGGGGCUUAACUCCGGAUCUGCGGUGGGUACGGGCAGACUAGAGUGCAGUAGGGGAGACUGGAAUUCCUGGUGUAGCGGUGAAAUGCGCAGAUAUCAGGAGGAACACCGAUGGCGAAGGCAGGUCUCUGGGCUGUAACUGACGCUGAGGAGCGAAAGCAUGGGGAGCGAACAGGAUUAGAUACCCUGGUAGUCCAUGCCGUAAACGUUGGGCACUAGGUGUGGGGGACAUUCCACGUUUUCCGCGCCGUAGCUAACGCAUUAAGUGCCCCGCCUGGGGAGUACGGCCGCAAGGCUAAAACUCAAAGGAAUUGACGGGGGCCCGCACAAGCGGCGGAGCAUGCGGAUUAAUUCGAUGCAACGCGAAGAACCUUACCAAGGCU